rfam:Ovis aries breed Texel chromosome 2, whole genome shotgun sequence.
UCCCUGGUGGCUGAGGUUAAAGCAUCUGAGUGGAAUGCAGGAGACCCAGGUUCUAUCCCUGGGUCGGGAA